UACGUAGGGUGCAGGCGUUAAUCGGAAUUACUGGGCGUAAAGCGUGCGCAGGCGGUCUUUUAAGUCAGAUGUGAAAUCCCCGGGCUUAACCUGGGAACUGCGUUUGAAACUGGAAGGCUUGAGUGUGGCAGAGGGGGGUGGAAUUCCGCGUGUAGCAGUGAAAUGCGUAGAGAUGCGGAGGAACACCGAUGGCGAAGGCAGCCCCCUGGGCCGACACUGACGCUCAGGCACGAAAGCGUGGGGAGCAAACAGG
rnacentral:rRNA from 1 species